GCCCGCGGCGGGGGCCAUGUGAGCGCGGAGCCGGCAGGAUGCAGAAGGGGAUGCGGCUCAAUGACGGGCACGUCGCCCACCUGGGGCUGCUGGCGAAGAAGGACGGGGCCCGGCGCGGAUACCUGAGCAAGCGGAGCGCCGACAACACGAAAUGGCACACCAAGUGGUUCGCGCUGCUCCAGAACAUGCUCUUCUACUUCGAGACCGACUCCAGCUCCCGGCCCUCGGGGCUCUACCUGCUCGAGGGCUGCGUCUGCGACCGCGCGCCCUCCCCCAAGCCCCCCCUCUCGGCUAAGGACUCCCUGGAGAAGCAGCACUACUUCACCGUUAACUUCAACCACGAGAACCAGAAGACGCUGGAGCUGAGGACCGAGGAUGCCAAGGACUGCGACGAGUGGGUGGCAGCCAUAGCUCACGCCAGCUACAGGAACCUGGCGACGGAGCACGAGGCGCUGAUGCAGAAGUACCUCCAUCUCCUGCAGAUCGUGGAGACGGAGAAGACCGUUGCCAAGCAACUCCGGCAGCAGAUCGAGGACGGCGAGAUCGAGAUCGAGCGCCUCAAGGCCGAGAUCGCGUCCCUGCUCAAGGACCACGAGCGCAUCCAGGCCAGCCAGGGCAGCGCGCCCAGCGACGACGACAGUGACAUCAAGAAGAUCAAGAAGGUGCAGAGCUUCCUGCGGGGCUGGCUGUGCCGGAGGAAGUGGAAGACCAUCAUUCAGGACUACAUCAGGUCCCCCCACGCUGACAGCAUGCGCAAGAGGAACCAGGUGGUGUUCAGCAUGCUGGAGGCCGAGGCCGAGUACGUCCAGCAGCUCCACAUCCUCGUCAACAACUUCCUGCGGCCGCUGCGGAUGGCCGCCAGCUCCAAGAAGCCGCCCAUCACCCACGACGACGUCAGCAGCAUUUUCCUCAACAGCGAAACGAUCAUGUUUUUGCACCAAAUUUUCUACCAAGGCCUGAAGGCGCGGAUCUCCAGCUGGCCCACGCUGGUGCUGGCCGACCUGUUCGACAUCCUGCUGCCCAUGCUGAACAUCUACCAGGAGUUCGUGCGGAACCACCAGUACAGCCUGCAGAUCCUGGCCCACUGCAAGCAGAACCGCGACUUCGACAAGCUGCUCAAGCACUACGAGGCCAAGCCUGACUGCGAGGAGAGGACCCUGGAGACCUUCCUCACCUACCCCAUGUUCCAGAUCCCCAGGUACAUCCUGACCCUGCACGAGCUGCUGGCUCACACGCCCCACGAACACGUGGAGAGGAACAGCCUGGAUUAUGCCAAGUCCAAGCUGGAAGAGCUGUCCAGGAUAAUGCACGAUGAAGUGAGUGAGACUGAAAACAUUCGGAAAAACCUGGCAAUAGAGAGGAUGAUCAUCGAGGGCUGUGAGAUCCUGCUGGACACCAGCCAGACCUUCGUCAGACAAGGCUCCCUGAUCCAGGUGCCCAUGUCGGAGAAGGGCAAGAUCACGCGCGGCCGGCUGGGCUCGCUGUCGCUCAGGAAGGAGGGCGAGCGCCAGUGCUUCCUCUUCUCCAAGCACCUCAUCAUCUGCACCCGCGGCUCCGGGGGGAAGCUGCACCUCACCAAGAACGGCGUGAUCUCCCUCAUCGACUGCACGCUGGUGGAGGAGCCCGAGAGCACCGACGAGGACGCCAAAACAUCAGGACAAGACAUUGACCACCUUGACUUCAAAAUCGUGGUGGAGCCGAAAGAUUCCUCGUCUUUCACCGUUAUCCUCGUGGCCUCGUCCAGGCAGGAGAAGGCUGCGUGGACCAGUGACAUCAGCCAGUGCGUGGACAACAUCCGCUGCAACGGCCUGAUGAUGAACGCCUUCGAGGAGAACUCCAAGGUCACCGUGCCCCAGAUGAUCAAGUCUGAUGCCAGCUUGUAUUGUGAUGAUGUUGACAUUAGGUUCAGUAAAACGAUGAAUUCCUGCAAGGUCCUGCAGAUCCGCUAUGCCAGCGUGGAGCGGCUGCUGGAGAGGCUGACGGACCUGCGCUUCCUGAGCAUCGACUUCCUCAACACCUUCCUGCACUCCUACCGCGUCUUCACCACCGCCCUCGUCGUCCUCGACAAGCUCAUCACCAUCUACAAGAAGCCCAUCAGUGCCAUCCCUGCACGGUCCCUGGAGCUGCUGUUUGCAAACAGCCAGAACAACAAGCUGCUCUACGGGGAGCCCCCCAAGUCCCCCAGAGCCAACCGCAAGUUCUCGUCGCCGCCGCCGCUGUCCAUCACCAAGUCCUCGUCCCCCAGCCGCCGCAGGAAGCUGUCCCUCAACAUCCCCAUCAUCACAGGGGGCAAGGCGCUGGACCUGGCGGCGCUGAGCUGCUCCUCCAACGGCUACGCCGGCGUCUACUCCUCCAUGGCCCCCUUCAGCAAGACCACUCUGGACAUCAACAAGCUCUACGUGUCCAGCAGCUAUCCCAAUAAGAUCCCGGACGAAGGAGAAGCGGCCUCGGAAAAGCAAGAGGAGUCCCUGCCAGGCAAGCCAAGCUCAGAGGCGUCUGUCAGGGAAGAGUCGGACACGGAUCCCAACCACAGCGAUGAAGCAGAAGCUGAAGCUUCCCCAACGAAAUCUCCGACGACUCCCAAGUCCAUCAAGUGCAAAAAUUCAUCAGAUUUCUCGCUGUUUUCCUACAACAACGGCAUGGUCAUGACGUCCUGCCGGGACCUGGACAGCACCCGCAGCGCCCUGUCUGCCACCUCGGCCUUCGCCAUCGCCACGGCGGGGGCCAACGAGGGGACCCCCACCAAGGAGAAGUACCGCAGGAUGUCCCUGGCCAGCGCAGUUUCAGGCUUCCCGACGGACCAGCGGAACGGGGACAAGGAGUUCGUGAUCCGGAGAGCGGCCACCAACCGCGUCCUCAACGUGCUGCGGCACUGGGUGUCCAAACACUCCCAGGACUUCGAGACCAACGAGGAGCUGAAGUUCCGGGUGAUCGGUUUCCUGGAGGAGGUCAUCCACGACCCCGAGCUCCUGACACAGGAGAGGAAAGCGGCUGCCAACAUCAUCAGGACCUUGACGCAGGAGGAUCCAGGAGACAACCAGAUAACCCUGGAGGAGGUUGUGCAGAUGGCCGAGGGGGUCAGAGCAGAACCCUUUGAAAACCAUUCAGCCCUGGAGAUCGCAGAACAGCUGACGCUGCUGGAUCACCUGGUCUUCAAGAAGAUCCCCUAUGAAGAAUUCUUUGGGCAAGGCUGGAUGAAGCUGGAGAAGAACGAGAGGACCCCAUACAUCAUGAAGAACACGAAGCACUUCAAUGAUGUCAGCAACCUGAUCGCGUCGGAGAUCAUCCGGAACGAGGAGAUCAACGCGCGCGUCAGCGCCAUCGAGAAGUGGGUGGCGGUGGCCGACAUCUGCCGCUGCCUGCACAACUACAACGCCGUGCUGGAGAUCACCUCCUCCCUCAACCGCAGUGCCAUCUUCCGCCUCAAGAAAACCUGGCUCAAGGUCUCCAAGCAGACGAAGGCUCUCAUUGAUAAGCUCCAGAAGCUGGUGUCGUCGGAGGGCAGGUUCAAGAACCUGAGGGAGGCACUGAAAAAUUGUGACCCUCCGUGUGUCCCCUACCUGGGCAUGUACCUGACUGACCUGGCGUUCAUCGAGGAGGGCACCCCGAACUACACCGAGGACGGCCUGGUGAACUUCUCCAAAAUGAGGAUGAUCUCACACAUCAUAAGGGAGAUCCGGCAGUUCCAGCAAACCUCCUACAAGAUCGAGCACCAGCCGAAGGUGACGCAGUACCUGCUGGACCAGUCGUGUGUGAUGGACGAGGAGUCCCUGUACGAAGCUUCUCUGCGAAUAGAGCCCAAGCUGCCUUCGUGAGCGGCGCGGCCGCCGGACACUCGCUGUGCCCCCUGUACAUAGCCGCGCUCCAGGGCGCCCUGGAGCGACCCCCAGUCUGCUUCUCCGGCCCCCCGCCCCCGCCCCAGGCCGCGCCCCGCGUAGGAUUCCCCGCCCCGUUACGGUUUAACGCGCGACACUUCGCUGGAGUCCCGGGUUCUUUUCCAUGAUGUUACUUUUGUCAUUUGUCCCUCCUGGGGGGCUGGUGGUCGGGCAGGUGAGUCCCUGUGUCCCCAUGGAGCAGGUGAGCCCUGUGUCCCCGUGGGACAGGUGAGCCCCGUGUCCCUGCAGGGUCCCCAUGGGGCAGGUGAGUCCCGUGUCCCCGAGGGGUUCCCAUGGGGCAGGUGAGCCCUGUGUCCCCGUGGGGCAGGUGAUCCCUGUGUCCCCGCGGGGCUCUGGGGCAGCACAGAGCAGCUCUCACUCGGGCAGUGCUGGCGGUUACAUCCCGACUCUGUAAGGUGGGAGAAGGGAGCACAUUAAAGGUUGUCCCUCGGUGUCAGCUGCCCUCUCUGUGUGUGCCACGGCGGGCCCUGGCUGCCGCCCUGGUCCCUCCGACGGUGGGAAGAUGGAAGCAUCCCCUCGCCUCUCCUGGCUGCAUCCGGCUCCUGUUGAUAUGCUGUAGAUCCGUUCCCUUGUGCCCACUCUGAGUACCAUGACGUAGAGUUAGAGAUGACGAGUGUUUUUAUUACAUCUACUGUAAUCCUGGCUAACCACCCGCUGGCAGGAUAUAGUAAUGUAGUGCUUAUUCUGUGAAUAGUUCCUGGGUUUUUUACAUUGUACAGUCCCUGACACGGUUCCCCGGCAGUGGCAGGCAUGCUCCACUCACACAACACUUGCUGUAAGCAAUACCUCGUGGUAUGGGAAUUCUCUUUCAAGCCCUAAAACUAUUUCAACUUACAGCUUGUUUGGGAAAAAAAAAAAAAAAUUUCCAUUUUUUUUGUAAAAAUAUAUGUUUCCUGAUUACCUCUUGCUAAUAAAUCUAUUCUAUCUCAGGGUGAA